AUUACCGAGUUCAUGCCCUUACCGGGUAGAUCUCCCACCCUAUGUUAUCAUUACCUUUGUUGCUUUGGCGGGCCGCCAGGCUUCGGCCAGGCUAUCGGCUUCGGCUGGUAAGCGCCCGCCAGGGGACCCAACAUCCUGAUUAUUAGUGUCGUCUGAGUACUAUAUAAUAGUUAAAACUUUCAACAACGGAUCUCUUGGUUCUGGCAUCGAUGAAGAACGCAGCGAAAUGCGAUAAGUAAUGUGAAUUGCAGAAUUCAGUGAAUCAUCGAAUCUUUGAACGCACAUUGCGCCCCUUGGUAUUCCGAGGGGCAUGCCUGUUCGAGCGUCAUUACAACCCUCAAGCAUUGCUUGGUGUUGGGCUCCGCUGCUAACCUAGCGGGCCUUAAAAUCAGUGGCGGUGCCGUCGGGCCCUGAGCGUAGUAAAUCUCCUCGCUACAGGGACUCGAUAGACGCUGGCCAUCAACCCCCCUUACUUUCUAAGUUUGACCUCGGAUCAGGUAGGGAUACCCGCUGAACUUAAGCAUAUCAAUAAGCGGAGGAAAAGAAACCAACAGGGAUUGCCUUAGUAACGGCGAGUGAAGCGGCAACAGCUCAAAUUUGAAAUCUGGCUCUUUUAGGGUCCGAGUUGUAAUUUGUAGAAGAUGCUUCGGGUGUGGCUCCGGUCUAAGUUCCUUGGAACAGGACGUCAUAGAGGGUGAGAAUCCCGUAUGUGACUGGCUGCCUUCGCCUAUGUGAAGCUCUUUCGACGAGUCGAGUUGUUUGGGAAUGCAGCUCAAAAUGGGUGGUAAAUUUCAUCUAAAGCUAAAUAUUGGCCAGAGACCGAUAGCGCACAGGUAGAGUGAUCGAAAGAUGAAAAGCACUUUGGAAAGAGAGUUAAACAGUACGUGAAAUUGUUGAAAGGGAAGCGCUUGCAACCAGACUUGCACUUGGUCGAUCAUCCGAGGUUCUCCUCGGUGCACUCGAUCUUGUUCAGGCCAGCAUCGGUUCAGGUGGUGGGAUAAAGGCCUUGGGAAUGUAGCUUCUUUCGGGGAGUGUUAUAGCCCUCGGUGCAAUGCCGCCUACCUGGACCGAGGACCGCGCUUCGGCUAGGAUGCUGGCGUAAUGGUUGUAAGCGACC
rnacentral:rRNA from 1 species